GCCGGGGUAGCUCAAUCGGUAGAGCGUGUGGCUCUUACAAUGGGUUGUGCGCCCAGAGAAAGAACACCUCAAGGUCGUGGGUUCGAGCCCCACCUUCGGCU
rnacentral:tRNA from 1 species